AGCAGCCGCGGUAAUUCCAGCUCCAAUAGCGUAUAUUAAAGUUGUUGCAGUUAAAAAAGCUCGUAGUUGAAUUUCGGGAUCAAUAUGUUGGUCGUGCCUUGGUACGUACUGGCGUCAUUGGUUUCUACCUUCUGAAGAACCUCGAUGUCAUUAAUUUGGUGUCUUGGGGAAUCAGGACUGUUACUUUGAAAAAUUAGAGUGUUUAAAGCAGGCUCACGCUUGAAUACAUUAGCAUGGAAUAAUGAAAUAGGACGUUUGAUUCUAUUUUGUUGGUUUCUAGGAUCGACGUAAUGAUUAAUAGGGAUAGUUGGGGGCAUUAGUAUUCAAUUGUCAGAGGUGAAAUUCUUGGAUUUAUUGAAGACUAACUACUGCGAAAGCAUUUGCCAAGGAUGUUUUCAUUAAUCAAGAACGAAGUUAGGGGAUCGAAGACGAUCAGAUACCGUCGUAGUCUUAACCAUAAACUAUGCCGACUAGGGAUCGGAUGAUGUUUAAUUUUUAAUGUACUCUA
rnacentral:rRNA from 1 species